GCCUACCCCAGCGCCGCCCGGUGGUCCAUCCCCGGGCUCUUCCCUGGCGGGAGAAGCAUUGCGAUCGAGAGUCAGAUGCCUGCCCGGGUCGGAAUGACCUGGACGAGGUCGGCUUUGUCCGUCUCGAGAGCGUCGGACUGCCUGACGGCAAGUACUGGGACCGCUAGGGUUCGAGCCGUCCUCGCCGCGCUCACUCCCCCCGCCCUCCUAGUGGGGGAGGAGCUCCGAGUUGGGGAGAAGCGCUCGUCGACAGCGCAGUGAGUGAGUCCGCGCUCCCCCGGAGUACUCCGAGUCCCGGUCCUGCUCGUCCCGGUGCAGCGCCUACGGUGGGCAGUGAGCCCGCGCGCCCCUGGGUUCAGCCCCGAGUCCCCGUCCUGCUUGUGCAGCCCCUCCGAUACUUAUUAACAGGGACAAAGAGUAACUUCAUAGUGGAAAAACUUGAUCAACACACCUCAACCAGGUAAUUAAGGUAUACAACGACAGCAUCAGCCCCCAACGUCCUAAUGCAUCAAGAAAGAUGCAGCAGCACUCCUGUGGUUUUCUUGCCAAAAAUGUAUCCCCUCAAUUAGAUCAUGGGAAAACUUCAGAGAAAUCCAAGCAAGGACGUGGUACAGCGUAACUGAGUACUCUUUAAAAGGGCCAAGCUCCCAAGAGAAGGAAAUUCUGAGGAACUGUCCCAGGCUGGAGGUGUCUAAGGAGAAUGACAACUGAAUGCAAUGUGGGGUUGCAGUUUGGCUUGGACUAGGAACAGUACUACUGUGGAAAACCAUGAAAUCUGAGUGAAGUCUGUAGUAUAGCUGACAGUAUCUGCCGUGGACUGAAUGUUUGUGUGUUCCUGGAACUUCAUCUAUUGAAACCUAAUCCCCAGUGUGAUGGUGUUAGGAGGUAAGGCCUUUGGGAAGUGCUUAGAUCAUGAGAAUGGAACCCUGAUGAAUGGCUUCAGUACCCUUGGAAAGGAGCUGAGAAAAGACAGCUGUCUGUGAACCCAAAAGUGGACUUUCACCAGGCACCAAAUCUGCUUAUACCUUGGUUUUGGACUUCCUGCCUCCAGAACUGCAAGAAAUAAAUUGUUUUUUAAGCA